rnacentral:rRNA from 1 species
CAGUCGAGGGGCAGCAUUUUAGUUUGCUUGCAACUGAAGAUGGCGACCGGCGCACGGGUGAGUAACACGUAUCCAACCUGCCGAUAACUCCGGAAUAGCCUUUCGAAAGAAAGAUUAAUACCGGAUAGCAUACGAAUAUCGCAUGAUAUUUUUAUUAAAGAAUUUCGGUUAUCGAUGGGGAUGCGUUCCAUUAGUUUGUUGGCGGGGUAACGGCCCACCAAGACUACGAUGGAUAGGGGUUCUGAGAGGAAGGUCCCCCACAUUGGAACUGAGACACGGUCCAAACUCCUACGGGAGGCAGCAGUGAGGAAUAUUGGUCAAUGGGCGAGAGCCUGAACCAGCCAAGUAGCGUGAAGGAUGAAGGCUCUAUGGGUCGUAAACUUCUUUUAUAUGGGAAUAAAGUUUUCCACGUGUGGAAUUUUGUAUGUACCAUAUGAAUAAGGAUCGGCUAACUCCGUGCCAGCAGCCGCGGUAAUACGGAGGAUCCGAGCGUUAUCCGGAUUUAUUGGGUUUAAAGGGAGCGUAGGUGGAUUGUUAAGUCAGUUGUGAAAGUUUGCGGCUCAACCGUAAAAUUGCAGUUGAAACUGGCAGUCUUGAGUACAGUAGAGGUGGGCGGAAUUCGUGGUGUAGCGGUGAAAUGCUUAGAUAUCACGAAGAACUCCGAUUGCGAAGGCAGCUCACUAGACUGUCACUGACACUGAUGCUCGAAAGUGUGGGUAUCAAACAGGAUUAGAUACCCUGGUAGUCCACACAGUAAACGAUGAAUACUCGCUGUUUGCGAUAUACAGUAAGCGGCCAAGCGAAAGCAUUAAGUAUUCCACCUGGGGAGUACGCCGGCAACGGUGAAACUCAAAGGAAUUGACGGGGGCCCGCACAAGCGGAGGAACAUGUGGUUUAAUUCGAUGAUACGCGAGGAACCUUACCCGGGCUUAAAUUGCAACAGAAUAUAUUGGAAACAGUAUAGCCGUAAGGCUGUUGUGAAGGUGCUGCAUGGUUGUCGUCAGCUCGUGCCGUGAGGUGUCGGCUUAAGUGCCAUAACGAGCGCAACCCUUAUCUUUAGUUACUAACAGGUCAUGCUGAGGACUCUAGAGAGACUGCCGUCGUAAGAUGUGAGGAAGGUGGGGAUGACGUCAAAUCAGCACGGCCCUUACGUCCGGGGCUACACACGUGUUACAAUGGGGGGUACAGAAGGCGGCUACCUGGUGACAGGAUGCUAAUCCCAAAAACCUCUCUCAGUUCGGAUCGAAGUCUGCAACCCGACUUCGUGAAGCUGGAUUCGCUAGUAAUCGCGCAUCAGCCAUGGCGCGGUGAAUACGUUCCCGGGCCUUGUACACACCGCCCGUCAAGCCAUGAAAGCCGGGGGUACCUGAAGUACGUAACCGC